UGUGUAUCAGUACAUGGCAUAUCAAUAAGCGGAGGAAAAGAAACUAACUAGGAUUCCCUUAGUAACGGCGAGUGAAGCGGGAAGAGCUCAAAUUUGAAAUCUUCAAGGUUCUACCUUGACGAAUUGUAGUUUAUAAGAAGUGUUUUCUGUUAGUGGAGUGGCAAAAGUUCUUUGGAAUAGGACAUCAUAGAGGGUGAGAAUCCCGUAUUUGACCAUUAUUUUCAGCUGUGUGAUACACUUUCAAAGAGUCGGAUUGUUUGGGAAUGCAGUCCAAAAUGGGUGGUAAAUUUCAUCUAAAGCUAAAUAUUGGCGAGAGACCGAUAGCGAACAAGUACCGUGAGGGAAAGAUGAAAAGAACUUUGAAAAGAGAGUUAAACAGUACGUGAAAUUGUCAAAAGGGAAGCGUUUGACACCAGUGUUGUUUUCUCGAAAAUCAAUUAAAAAUGGUGGGAUGUUGUGUUGUAUUGACUUUAUCAGCUUUCUGCACUUUUUUUCCUAUCUUUUUUAAUGCACUUUUCGUUUAACAAGUCAACAUCAAUUUCUUUUGUUGUAAAAGAGUCAUUGGAAGGUGGCUUUCUUUUCGGAGAAAGUGUUUAUAGCCUUUGGCUUCUGCAAUCGGAGAGAUUGAGGUCUGCAGCGUAGAUCCUUCGGGGUUAGAUGCAUUUGUGCUAAGUUAUAGCCUUUCAUAGACAACUUGUUGACUAUGAUCAGUCAUGUAGCUUACUCGCUUAUGUCAUUUUACCUACGCUUAGGAUGUUGACAGCAGUAUAGACUG
rnacentral:rRNA from 1 species